rnacentral:rRNA from 1 species
UGGGGAAUUUUCCGCAAUGGGCGAAAGCCUGACGGAGCAAGACCGCGUGGGGGAAGAAGGCUCUUGGGUUGUAAACCCCUUUUCUCUGGGAAGAAAGUUGUGAAAGCAGCCUGACGGUACCAGAGGAAUCAGCAUCGGCUAACUCCGUGCCAGCAGCCGCGGUAAGACGGAGGAUGCAAGCGUUAUCCGGAAUGAUUGGGCGUAAAGCGUCCGCAGGUGGCAGUUCAAGUCUGCUGUCAAAGACCGGGGCUCAACCUCGGAAAGGCAGUGGAAACUGAACAGCUAGAGUAUGGUAGGGGCAAAGGGAAUUCCUGGUGUAGCGGUGAAAUGCGUAGAGAUCAGGAAGAACAUCGGUGGCGAAGGCGCUUUGCUGGACCAUAACUGACACUCAGGGACGAAAGCUAGGGGAGCGAAUG